GGAAGUGAGGACGUUAACCACGUCUGAUUGGUCAGAUUGAUGACACAUGAUCAAGCCUCAAGCAAUUGAUUGGCGGAGACAGUUGAAGGAGGCGGGACUUUUCUGAAAGCCGAUCUUGCGGCUGGAUUAGCGUGCUAUUAUCAAAUCGUCCACUGGGUGGCAGUGUAGCGUGCCGUGCUGUGAUGUCGAGUAGGCCCGCAGCAGAGGAAGAAAGUUUCCUUUUGUGAUGCCAGCAGAACGUGUGUUUAUCACUAUUCUGUUCCUCAGAUGUCAGAGAUGAAGCUGAUGAUAGAAGUGAUGAUGAUGAUGAAGAAGAAGACGUGAAAGAGCUGGAAGAACC
rnacentral:lncRNA from 1 species